AUUGAACGCUGGCGGCAGGCCUAACACAUGCCAGUCGAGCGGAUGAAGGGAGCUUGCUCCUGGAUUCAGCGGCGGACGGGUGAGUAAUGCCUAGGAAUCUGCCUGGUAGUGGGGGAUAACGUCCGGAAACGGGCGCUAAUACCGCAUACGUCCUGAGGGAGAAAGUGGGGGAUCUUCGGACCUCACGCUAUCAGAUGAGCCUAGGUCGGAUUAGCUAGUUGGUGGGGUAAAGGCCUACCAAGGCGACGAUCCGUAACUGGUCUGAGAGGAUGAUCAGUCACACUGGAACUGAGACACGGUCCAGACUCCUACGGGAGGCAGCAGUGGGGAAUAUUGGACAAUGGGCGAAAACCUGAUCCAGCCAUGCCGCGUGUGUGAAGAAGGUCUUCGGAUUGUAAAGCACUUUAAGUUGGGAGGAAGGGCAGUAAGUUAAUACCUUGCUGUUUUGACGUUACCAACAGAAUAAGCACCGGCUAACUUCGUG
rnacentral:rRNA from 1 species